ensembl:lncRNA
GGUUAAUAGUCAAACAUAUAAGUAACUCCUACAACCAGUACCAGAAAGCACAAUCUGAUUAAAAACUUAAAGGACUCAAAUAGAUAUUUCUACAAAGAAGACAGAAAUGUCAAACAAGUAUAUCAAAAGAUGCUUAACUUUAUUAAUCAUCAUCGAGAAAAUGCAAAUUAUAACACAAUGAUAUAUCAAAGUAUUCUCAUUUGGAUAAGGAUUACUAAAAAAAUUAAAAUGCAAGUAUUCGUGAGGAUGUGGAGAAACUGGAACUUUUGUGUACUGUUGUUCAAAAUGUAAAAUUGUGUAGCUUCUCUGGUAAAAUGUAUGAAGGUUCUUAUAAAAGUUUUGCAGAGAAGUACCAUAUGAAUUACCUACUGCACUUAUUUAUAUUUACCUAAAACAAUUAAAAAUCAGGAUUUUGAAGAACUAUCUGCAACAGUUUCUACUUUAAAUCUUGUCUGUUUUGGGCUGGGGAUUUAGCUCAGUGGUUCCACCGCCUGCCUCACAAGUGCAAGGUCCUGAGUUCGAUCCCUGGUACAAAAAAAAAAAUCCUGUCCAUUUUAAGACAAAAAGCUCUUAAAAUCUUCUGCUUGGAUAUACGUACAUCUGCUCUAUUCAUAUUUUGGUGGGCCAAAAUGAUUUCAAGGUUAAGCCACCAAUAAAAGGAUAUCCGGUAAAAAAAAAAAAAGGCUAAAGCCAUAGGACAGGGACAAGCAUCUGUCCAGAAGGAAGGAGCUACACAUGAUAGUGCAAAACAAUGUGGCAUUUAUAGUCACUCCCUUAAGAAAAAGGGAAGAAGAGGGAAGUAUAAGGGAGACUAAUGGAGAUACAGGUAUGAUCAGGCUAAAUUAUAUGCAUGUAUACAAAUAUCACACUGAAACUCAAUAUUUUGUAAAAUUGUACAGAGGUAAAAUCUAUUCUUGGUACAAAAAAUUUACAAUCUUUUAAGGAAGAUGAACAUGACUCCAAGUAUUGUACUUCAUGUCUUUGCAGGGUUUUGUGGUUAUAAGACUUAAGUAACAUUAACUGAAGGACCACUUAUUCUAAAAUCUAAAAUUGCUUUAUCUAUGCCUCAAAGAUAAGGGUGAUAGGAAAGUUUGCUUUGUUAGAUCUUUAGAGUAUGACACAUCCACCACCUGUGUUUUCUAACUUUUCGUUGAGAAGAUUUAUUUCAUUCUGAAGUUGUCGGCUCUCAUUUUGGAAUCCCUCUCUUAGUAGAUUGGCUUGUUCCUAAAAAUACAAAUGGAAUGUGAAUAAUUUUUAACAAAGUAGAUUUCAAAAACCAAAACAGGUCAGAAGAGACAAAAGUCACCACAUAUUGGUAAAUGGAACAAUUCACCAGGAAAUGAGAACAGUUGUAAAUAUGCAUACACCGAAUACUGGUGCAUCUAAAUCGGUAAAGUAAAAACUACUUGACAGAAAGGGGCAGGAAGAUAGCAAUACAAAUAUUUUGGGAAACUUCAAUAGCCCACCUUCACAAAUAGGGAAGAAAAACAGUCAAAAAGUUAAUAAAGAACUAUGAGAGCCUACCUACACCACAGAACAAACGGAUUUACAGAUAGCUAUAGAAAGUCUCAACCAAUGGUAGCAGAACACACAUUCUUCUCAGAAG